rnacentral:rRNA from 1 species
UACGUAGGGGGCAAGCGUUGUCCGGAAUUAUUGGGCGUAAAGAGCGUGUAGGCGGUCCGGUAAGUCAGCUGUGAAAGUCAAGGGCUCAACCCUUGAAUGACGGUUGAUACUGUCGGGCUAGAGUCCGGAAGAGGCGAGUGGAAUUCCCGGUGUAGCGGUGAAAUGCGCAGAUAUCGGGAGGAACACCAAUGGCGAAGGCAGCUCGCUGGGACGGUACUGACGCUGAGACGCGAAAGCGUGGGGAGCAAACAGG